GAUCAUGGCUCAGGAUAAACGCUGACAGAAUGCUUAACACAUGCAAGUCGAUGACUAAGUAUAGCUUGCUAUACAAGGUCAUGGCGGACGGGUGAGUAACGUGUAAAGAACUUACCUUAUAGACUGGGAUAACAGAUAGAAAUGUCUGAUAAUACUAGAUACUAUUACACUGUGGCAUCACAGAGUAAUGAAAGAAUACGCUAUAAGAGAGCUUUGCA
rnacentral:rRNA from 1 species